rnacentral:rRNA from 1 species
CAGUAGCCACGGUAAUACAGAGGGUGCGAGCGUUAAUCGGAUUUACUGGGCGUAAAGCGUGCGUAGGCGGCUAAUUGAGUCGGAUGUGAAAUCCCCGAGCUUAACUUGGGAAUUGCAUUCGAUACUGGUUAGCUAGAGUGUGGGAGAGGAUGGUAGAAUUCCAGGUGUAGCGGUGAAAUGCGUAGAGAUCUGGAGGAAUACCGAUGGCGAAGGCAGCCAUCUGGCCUAACACUGACGCUGAGGUACGAAAGCAUGGGGAGCAAACAGGAUUAGAUACCCGGGUAGUCCCUGUCUCUUAUAC